rnacentral:rRNA from 1 species
GACGAACGCUGGCGGCGUGCUUAACACAUGCAAGUCGAACGAUGAAGCCGGAGCUUGCUCUGGUGAAUUAGUGGCGAACGGGUGAGUAACACGUGAGUAACCUGCCCUUGACUCUGGGAUAACUGCGGGAAACUGUAGCUAAUACCGGAUACGACCCUCGGAGGCAUCUCCUGGGGGUGGAAAGAAUUUCGGUCAAGGAUGGACUCGCGGCCUAUCAACUAGUUGGUGAGGUAAAGGCUCACCAAGGCGACGACGGGUAGCCGGCCUGAGGGGGUGACCGGCCACACUGGGACUGAGACACGGCCCAGACUCCUACGGGAGGCAGCAGAGGGGAAUAUUGCACAAUGGGCGCAAGCCUGAUGCAGCAACGCCGCGUGAGGGAUGACGGCCUUCGGGUUGUAAACCUCUUUUAGUAGGGAAGAAGCGAAAGUGACGGUACCUGCAGAAAAAGCACCGGCUAACUACGUGCCAGCCGCCGCCGUAA